UGUAGGCCUUGGCUUGGAUUGUUUGACUGCCCCCCACAGUGCACAGGGAGGUGGAACCUGUAGGGAGCAGGGUGGAUUAUUGUUCUCUGGCUAAGGAGAUGGGGGCGACCACAUGCGCUACUUAGGGAGAUGAUGGGCAUCGAGCAACGGAACCGCGUCCAAUGUAGAAGAUGCCAAGCUACCACUUUCUUACACGAAGUUAUAACGAUGUUUGUUUACUCUGAAGACAGAGACAAGAGAAGCUCUUGAGACUAUAUACAGCUUAGGUGCUCCAUGAAUUCUGAUUACAAACUAGAGAGAAGGUAAAAGGGAACAAGAAUGCUUGCAUCAUUUUGUUAACUCUUUGCUAGCAACUCUCCCAUUUUAGAUCUAUUUCCCCAUAGGAUGCUCUUUAAGAUGAAUACUUCUUAUUGACUUAACCAUAUAACUUUGUCAAGUAGGUUUACUGUAAUAAUUUUAGAAUAAUUUCUGGCUGUCUCAUCUUUACGGAGCCAGGAUGAAUCUUUCAGGGAAGACCCAUGUUACAGAUUUAGGGAACAUUCAUGACUUCUCAGUGCUACUUGAGAUGGGGGCUAGAACAGGGAAAUCAGGUUGCUUCUGACACUGCAU